GCUUUCAAAAAGGAGAUUUCCUUAUUGAGUAUAGAGGGGAAGUCAUAAGCAGAAAGGAACAAGAAAACCGAUUGAAAGUUUACCAUGAUGCACUCAAGGUUUUUAUGUUUGAUUUCCAGUUCAAUGGACAACAGUUAUGUGUUGAUGCUGCCAGAGAGGAUGGAUCAUUAGGCAGACUGGUAAAUGAUGAGGAGGUGAACCCAAACAGCAAAAUGAAAGUUACAAGAGUGGCUGGAAGACCCCAUCUCUGUUUAUUUGCGCUCAAAGAUAUUGGUCCAGGGGAAGAAAUCACUUAUAAUUAUGGUGAUUCUGACUGGCCAUGGAGAAGCAAGGUCUCCAAAGAGAUGCCGUGUCAGGCUGCUGAUGUGGACGCAUGCAGAUCUUUUC